AUUGAACGCUGGCGGCGGGCCUAACACAUGCAAGUCGAGCGAGCGGCGGACGGGUGAGUAAUGUAUGGGGACUGCACGAUAGAGGGAGAUAACUAAUGGAAACGGUGGCUAAUACCGCAUACUAUCGGAUAACCCAUAUGGGAUUAGCUAGUAGGGGGGGUAAAGGCUGACCUAGGCGACGAUCUCGAGCUGGUCGGGGAGGAUGAUCAGCUACACGGGGACUGAGACACGGCCCAGACUCCUACGGAGGCAGCAGUGGUGAAUAUUGCACAAUGGGCGCAAGCCUGAUGCAGCCAUGCCGCGUGUAUGAAGAAGGCCUUAGGGUUGUAAAGUACUUUCAGCGGGGAGGCGUUACCCGCAGAAGAAGCCCCGGCUAACUCCGUGCCAGCAGCCGCGGUAAUUC
rnacentral:rRNA from 1 species